rnacentral:rRNA from 1 species
CAGUCGCCGCGGUAAUACAGAGGGUGCGAGCGUUAAUCGGAUUUACUGGGCGUAAAGCGUGCGUAGGCGGCUUCUUAAGUCGGAUGUGAAAUCCCUGAGCUUAACUUAGGAAUUGCAUUCGAUACUGGGAAGCUAGAGUAUGGGAGAGGAUGGUAGAAUUCCAGGUGUAGCGGUGAAAUGCGUAGAGAUCUGGAGGAAUACCGAUGGCGAAGGCAGCCAUCUGGCCUAAUAAUGACGCUGAGGUACGAAAGCAUGGGGAGCAAACAGGAUUAGAUACCCGGGUAGUCCCUGUCUCUUAUAC